rnacentral:lncRNA from 1 species
AGGGGUGAUAGUGGAUGGGCACGACCAGGCUGUCCAAGAAAAGCAAGUGGAGUUAGCCCUCUAGUUUCGCCAAGAGACAAAGACAGAGACGCAGUGGAAAGCAAAAGGAAAAGAGAAAAAGAGAAAGAAAUGGAGUGGGAAAAGCAAAAGCAAAGCAGAAAAACAAAAGCAAGGAAUAAACAUCCCACCAGAAUGAUGUGAUUUACUUUAUUUCUUUUUGAAUGAUGUAAUUUAUUUUUUCUUAUCUUUCGGAGACAUUUGUAU